UACAGAGGGGGCAAGCGUUGUUCGGAAUUACUGGGCGUAAAGGGCGCGUAGGCGGCUGUGCAAGUCAGGUGUGAAAGCCCUGGGCUCAACCCAGGAUGUGCACUUGAUACUGCACGGCUAGAGUGUCGGAGAGGAUGGUGGAAUUCCCAGUGUAGAGGUGAAGUUCGUAGAUAUUGGGAAGAACCCCGGUGGCGAAGGCGACCAUCUGGACGACAACUGACGCUGAGGCGCGAAAGCGUGGGGAGCAAACAGG
rnacentral:rRNA from 1 species